CUCGUAGGCGGUUCGUCGCGUCCGGUGUGAAAGUCCAUCGCUUAACGGUGGAUCCGCGCCGGGUACGGGCGGGCUUGAGUGCGGUAGGGGAGACUGGAAUUCCCGGUGUAGCGGUGAAAUGCGUAGAUAUUGGGAGGAACACCAGUGGCGAAGGCGCCUUUCUGGACUGUGUCUGACGCUGAGAUGCGAAAGCCAGGGUAAGCGAACG
rnacentral:rRNA from 1 species